CAGGGCUUCAUUACUGAGAUACUUUCCCCCAAGGACCAGGCAGGACAGUCAGUGUGCCAGACACCAACCAGGCAGAUCUGGGCUUGAGGAACGAUGUUUGGGAGAAGCCUCUGGCCGGAGCCAGGAACACGUUCCAGAGGGUUAAGAGUCCAUCAUCACCACUGUGAGGAAACAUGGCAGCUGGCAGGGAUUCAGCAUACACUGAAGACCAGCUGAGACAUCCGGUUUCAUAGACUGAGUAACUGCUAAAUUCUUGGACUUACUGUUCACAGCCAGCUAUUGUUGAAGUAUCUGGACUACAGCCUGUAAAUCAUUCUAAUAAAUCCCCUCUCUCUAUAUAUAUAAGUCUAUAGAGAUUCAUUCUAUAAGCUCUGUUACUCUAGAGAACUCUGACUAAUGCACUC